rnacentral:rRNA from 1 species
AGGGAACGCUGGCGGCAGGCUUAACACAUGCAAGUCGAGCGGAUGAAGGGAGCUUGCUCCUGGAUUCAGCGGCGGACGGGUGAGGAAUGCCCAGGAAUCUGCCUGCUAGUGGGGGAUAACGACGGGAAACGGGCGCUAAUACCGCAUACGUCCUGAGGGAGCAAGUGGGGGACCUUCUGACCUUAUGCUAUCAGAUGAUCCGAGGUCGGAUUAGCUAGUUGGUGGGGUAGAGGCCUGCUAAGGCGACUAUCCGUAACUGGUCUGAGAGGAUGAUCAGUCACACUAGAACUGAGACACGGUCGCGAGUCCUACGCGAGGCAACAGAGGGCAAUAUUGGACACUGGGCGAAAUCCUGCUCUAGCCCAGCCGCGUGUGUGACAGAGGUCUUCGGAUUGUGAAGCUGUUUAUGUUGGGAGGAAGGGCCGUACGUUAAUACCUUGCUGUUUUGACGUUACCCCCAGAAUAAGCACCGGCUAACUUCGUG